rnacentral:rRNA from 1 species
GACGAACGCUGGCGGCGUGCUUAACACAUGCAAGUCGACAUGAGUGGCGAACAGGUGAGUAAUAUGUCGGUAACCUUCCCUCCUUUAUGGGAUAAGCCUUGGAAACGGGGUCUAAUACCGGCUAACGGGGGAGGGGCUCGCGGCGUAUCAGCUUGUUGGUGGGGUAAUGGCCUACCAAGGCGGUGCCGGGUAGCCGGCCUGAGAGGGUGACCGGCCACACUGGGACUGAGAUACGGCCCAGACUCCUACGGGAGGCAGCAGUGGGGAAUAUUGCACAAUGGACGAAAGCCUGAUGCAGCCACGCCGCGUGGGUGAAGAAGGCCUUCGGGUUGUAAAGCACUUUCAGCGGGGAGGCGUUACCCGCAGAAGAAGCACCGGCUAACUCCGUGCCAGCAGCCGCGGUAAUAC